rnacentral:rRNA from 1 species
GCUUCUGGAGGGGGGUGCGUCCUAUCAGGUAGUUGGUGAGGUAACUGCUCACCAAGCCUAUGACGGGUAGCCGGUCUGAGAGGAUGUCCGGCCGCAAUGGGACUGAGACACGGCCCAUACUCCUACGGGAGGCAGCAGUGGGGAAUUUUGCGCAAUGGACGAAAGUCUGACGCAGCAAUCUCGCGUGAAGGAUGAAGCAUUAAGGUGUGUAAACUUCUUUUUUGGUGGAAGACGAAUGACGGUACACCAAGAAUAAGGGACGGCUAACUACGUGCCAGCAGCCGCGGUAAUACGUAGGUCCCAAGUGUUAUCCGGAAUUACUGGGCGUAAAGAGUCUGUAGCCUGAUAUAUAAGUCUGUUUUCAAAUACCGCAGCUCAACUGCGGACAGGGAAUAGAUACUGUAUAUCUUGAGAUUGUUAGGGGUUAGUGGAAUUUCCGGUGGAGCGGUGAAAUGCGUUGAUAUCGGAAGGAACGCCAAAAGCGAAAGCAGCUAACUAUAACAAAUCUGACGGUCAGAGACGAAAGCUUGGGUAGCAAAUGGGAUUAGAUACCCCGGUAGUCCAAGCUGUAAAUUUUGCUUGCUAGGUGUUUUGACCCGCUCUGCGGGUUGGAGUGCCGUAAUCUAACGAGUUAAGCAAGCCGCCUGGGUAGUAUAUUCGCAAGAAUGAAACUCAAAGGGAUAGGCGGGGGAACACACAAGCAGUGGAUUGUCUCGAUUAAUUGGAUAUUAAGCCAAAAAUCUUACCUAGACUUGACAUGUACUGUGUCCAAUGCGAAAGUAUUGUAGUCCGGUUUCGGCCGGACACGGUGUACAGGUGGUGCAUGGUCGUCGUCAGCUCGUGCCGCAAGGUGUCCAGUUAAGUCUGGGAACGAGCGCAACCCUCACUCUAUGUUA